rnacentral:rRNA from 1 species
UACGAAGGGUGCAAGCGUUACUCGGAAUUACUGGGCGUAAAGGGUGCGUAGGUGGUUGUUUAAGUCUGCUGUGAAAGCCCCGGGCUCAACCUGGGAAUGGCAGUGGAUACUGGACAGCUAGAGUGCGGUAGAGGGUAGUGGAAUUCCCGGUGUAGCAGUGAAAUGCGUAGAGAUCGGGAGGAACACCAGUGGCGAAGGCGGCAUCCUGGACCAACACUGACACUGAGGAGCGAAAGCCAGGGGAGCAAACGGG